UGGCGGACGGGUGAGUAACGCGUGAGUAACCCGCCUUUCAGAGGGGGAUAACGUUCUGAAAAGAACGCUAAUACCGCAUAAGAUCGUAGUUUCGCAUGGAGCAGCAAUCAAAGGAGCAAUCCGCUGAAAGAUGGACUCGCGUCCGAUUAGAUAGUUGGCGGGGUAACGGCCCACCAAGUCGACGAUCGGUAGCCGGACUGAGAGGGUGACCGGCCACAUUGGGACUGAGACACGGCCCAA
rnacentral:rRNA from 1 species